GUGCUGUGAUGAUGCUGUACAAUUGUGGUUUCGACUCCCUGAGAGUAAAAUGAAGACCUGCAAUUCCUUGGCUGUGUCUGAGCAC
ensembl:snoRNA